rnacentral:rRNA from 1 species
UACGUAGGAGGCUAGCGUUGUCCGGAAUCAUUGGGCGUAAAGCGCGUGUAGGCGGUCCGGUAAGUCCGCUGUGAAAGUCGGGGGCUCAACCCUCGGAUGCCGGUGGAUACUGUCGGGCUUGAGUACGGAAGAGGCGAGUGGAAUUCCUGGUGUAGCGGUGAAAUGCGCAGAUAUCAGGAGGAACACCGAUUGCGAAGGCAGCUCGCUGGGACGUUACUGACGCUGAGACGCGAAAGCGUGGGGAGCAAACAGG